UACGGAGGAUCCAAGCGUUAUCCGGAAUCAUUGGGUUUAAAGGGUCCGUAGGCGGUUUAGUAAGUCAGUGGUGAAAGCCCAUCGCUCAACGGUGGAACGGCCAUUGAUACUGCUAGACUUGAAUUAUUAGGAAGUAACUAGAAUAUGUAGUGUAGCGGUGAAAUGCUUAGAGAUUACAUGGAAUACCAAUUGCGAAGGCAGGUUACUACUAAUGGAUUGACGCUGAUGGACGAAAGCGUGGGGAGCGAACGGG
rnacentral:rRNA from 1 species